rnacentral:sRNA from 22 species
CCUUUGGAGAAGUAUACAAACUAAAGUAGCUAUAUUUGUAUAGUAAAAUAGGCUUCGUUGAAUUGGGAA